rnacentral:rRNA from 1 species
AUGGCUUAUGAGGCCGAAGAGAGCUCAAGUGGCGUCUUUUGGUUCUUGAAGACCUGCACGUUCCUGGUGGAGUAG